CCUACGGGAGGCAGCAGUGGGGAAUAUUGGGCAAUGGAGGAAACUCUGACCCAGCGACGCCGCGUGCGGGAUGAAGGCCUUCGGUUGUAAACCGCUUUCAGCAGGGAAGAAGCGAAAGUGACGGUACCUGCAGAAGAAGCACCGGCUAACUAUGUGCCAGCAGCCGCGGUAAUACAUAGGGUGCAAGCGUUGUCCGGAAUUAUUGGGCGUAAAGAGCUCGUAGGUGGUUCGUCACGUCGGAUGUGAAAAUCUGGGGCUUAACCCCAGACCUGCAUUCGAUACGGGCGAGCUUGAGUAUGGUAGGGGAGUCUGGAAUUCCUGGUGUAGCGGUGGAAUGCGCAGAUAUCAGGAGGAACACCAAUGGCGAAGGCAGGACUCUGGGCCAUUACUGACACUGAGGAGCGAAAGCGUGGGGAGCGAACAGGAUUAGAUACCCUGGUAGUCCACGCCGUAAACGGUGGGCACUAGUUGUGGGGACCUUCCACGUCGUCUGCGCGCNGCUACGCAUAGUGCCCGCCGUCGGGAGGUACGAGUCGCGAGAGUUAAACGUUAAAGGUAAAGUUAGACGGUCGUUGAGACGUUGCCGACGGCGACGACGAGGGAGGUUAGG
rnacentral:rRNA from 1 species